rnacentral:tRNA from 1 species
GUUACAGUCGCCUAAAGGAUGGGUCAAUAACUUUUUAAGUUUUUUUGUAUAGGUUCAAGUCCUGUCUGUAACA